rnacentral:pre_miRNA from 1 species
UUAUUACUCCCUCCGUUCGGAAUUACUCGUCCAAGAAAUGAAUGUAUCUAGAUGUAUUUUAGUUGUAGAUACAUCCAUUUUUGUGACAAGUAAUUCCGGAUGGAGGGAGUAGAUG